rnacentral:lncRNA from 1 species
CCUUUGCCCGAGCUGAGUCACAUGAGAGAGGCCAUCUAAGAUGUAUUCCCAAACCCCUAAAAGUGUACAGGUAGGAAAGAGAAAGACCCACAUCAAAGCAACCAAGGGAGGAGUUUGUGCAGAGCAGAAGGAUGGGGAGAGGGGAAGGGUGAAGAGCCCAGGCUGAGGAGAUGUCACAGUUGGUCAGGACAGCGUGCUUCAUCCCCAAGCAUUCUUCUGCCCAUCCUCCAGAAACUCAGAGAAGCCAAAGGGUGUGCAGGAGCCAUGGCCCCAGAACAAGCCCACCAGGAACCUCCCUCACUGUGGCGUUGGGCACAGGUCCCCAUAGCAUACAAGUCUAACAAUUCUGUCAGAUUGAAAGACAAUUCUCUCUCCCCAUCAUUCUGUUCCCCUCCUCAGCUCUGGCCUCACCCAAACUGUCCUAAACAAGGCUCUCGGCCCUCUGAGAGCUUUCCAAAGGUUAGGUAGUUGCUGUCAUUGAGAAUAAAUGCACUUGCAGCUGAUUUCCUGGGGUGGCAGGUAGGAAGAGCCAGGCAGUACUCAAGUCCAAAAAAGGGGAGAGAACUCUGAAGAAUGAGUUCAGCUAGCCCCAGAGCCAAGAAAGUCAAACUUCCAAACCUCUGUCUGGUUAGGAAUGACACCUAAACCAGCUGGCCACACCCUGCCUGCCUUCCCUCUUGCCUCCUCUGGUGGAGGUCCCCUUCAGGUCUCUAAGGUGAAGGGAAGUCCUGGAUGGAGGCCCAGCUUUGCAAAACACAAGGAACCAGAAGUAAUGUCCUCAGACUCACACGAGCCUCUCCUUUGUGCUUAGAAGGACGUAUAUGAUAAAUGUGUGAGCCCAGGCUCUCUGUCUCCAAAACCUCUCCCCUUAUCUGCCACACAUCAUAUUUCUCCUGGUUUAGGCAUAACUGACCCUGGAAUGAAAGAUCUGUAGGCUGCUCGAAACAAAUGCCAUGACCCCUCUUGUUCUUUAGAGAAGAGACGUUCGUGGUGGGCAAUGGGCUGCAGAGGGGAAGGAGCGACAGACACAGGUUGCAUGAUCUGCGAUGUGGAUGUGGCAGAAGCAGGAGCUCCUCGCCUGCUCCUCUCAGCAGCCAGGACUGCCUUUCCAAGCCCAUUCCUGGAUCAACACCCCUUCCUCCCACUGCAGGGGUACCAGAUGGAGUGCCUUCCCCACAGCUGGUUACCAAGGGCCCUGCCUGGGAGUCUUAAACAGGUUUGUCCAAGUGAAGAGAUGAAAAAGCCACCCUGUUGGCAUAGCUGUGACAAGCAGGUGCCAGCGAUGUACCCCGCCCCCACAACCAAUGCUGCCUUCCCUCAUGGCAUGCUCUUUCCUGCUGUGGAUCACCUGAGGGGGAAGACCCAGGACUUGAUCAUAGGCUUCCAGCACUCUUCUUUGCAUUUUGCUUCUUAG